AAUCAACGCUGGCGGCGUGCCUCAGACAUGCAAGUCGAACGAUUAGAGCUCUCUUCGGAGAGUGCAUAGAGUGGCGCACGGGUGAGUAACACGUAAGUAAUCUACCCUCGAGUGGGGAAUAACGUCCGGAAACGGGCGCUAAUACCGCAUAAUGCAGCGGCAUCAUAAGAUGACAGUUGUUAAAGAUUUAUCGCUUGAGGAGGAGCUUGCGGCAGAUUAGCUAGUUGGUAAGGUAACGGCUUACCAAGGCUACGAUCUGUAACCGGUCUUAGAGGACGGUCGGUCACACUGACACUGAAUAACGGGUCAGACUCCUACGGGAGGCAGCAGUCGGGAAUUUUGGGCAAUGGGCGAAAGCCUGACCCAGCAACGCCGCGUGAAGGAUGAAGUAUUUCGGUAUGUAAACUUCGAAAGAAUAGGAAGAAUUAAUGACGGUACUAUUUAUAAGGUCCGGCUAACUACGUGCCAGCAGCCGCGGUAAUAC
rnacentral:rRNA from 1 species